rnacentral:lncRNA from 1 species
GCUCGGCGUCACCGCGGCCACCGGGCAGGCCCAGCACGGUCCCCGCACGGUGCUCGUUGCCUCUCCCACCCCUGCCCAGGUGCGAUGGAGAUGCAGGAGGUGUUCCUGCAGCUCUGGGGGGAGCUGGCCAGGCUGCAGGAGCUGUGCUCGGAGCAGGGGCGGCUCCUCCGGAAGCUGAGGGCCAGGAAGGGACCGGUCCUGGACAUCCCGGUGUCGCUGCCUGUCCAGUGCACGGAGGAUGUGGGGACAGGGGACAGCCAGAGGUCACCUGAGAGCCACCAAAACCACCCAGGAGCUCUGACAUCCUCCACACCCCACCUGGAGGGCUCUGCCUGUCCCAUGGGACAGCCUCGGCCCACCAAGAGGCUCCCCCCGAGCCCUGGGCACAGCACAGGAGCCACAGGAGCUGCAGGUCCAGGCAGCACCGAGGGGGACGAGGGGGAAGCGCUCGCCCGCAGGAGAACCUGGAUCCUCCCGGUGCCCUGGGAAGGAGGGAGAGCUCCCUGCAGCCCUCGGCAGCUGGAGACACCAAAUCCAGGGCCUGGGGGCUCCUUCCCAAAUCUUCUGGAUCUCUACGAAGCCCCUGAAGCGCUUGAGAGGGAAGAGGCUCCCAGGGAUGUGGCUCUGGUGGAGAUCCGAGGGCCUGUGAAGACCUGCUGGACUCCGGGCUGGGCGCUGGAGGAGGGGACGCUGAGCCCCAGCACUGAGGCUGCCCCGGGCUGUGAGCUGUGCCAGGAGAUGCUGCCCUCGGAGGCAGCGGGACACGCGGAAUAUCUGAGCCCCCUUCUGCUCCACCUGGAGUAGGACUCGUCCUCCCAGCGGGAAAUCCACGGAUCUGUACCCUGAGCCACGGGACAGAAUCGGGAUAUUUGCAUGGGACAGCCUCUGGACAUCUCCACGGGACAGACUCUGGACAUUUCCCAUUUCCAUGGGAAGAUUCUGAACAUUUCCCAUUUCCAUGGGAAGAUUCUGGACAUUUCCACGGGACAGACUCUGGACAUUUCCCAUCUCCUCAGGACGGACUCUGGACAUUUCCCAUCUCCAUGGGACAGAUGCUGGACAUUUCCCAUCUCCAUGGGAUGGACUCUGGACAUUUCCGAUUUCCACAGGACAGACUCUGGAC